rnacentral:rRNA from 1 species
UACGUAGGGGGCAAGCGUUGUCCGGAAUCAUUGGGCGUAAAGAGCGCGUAGGCGGUUUGUCGCGUCGGGAGUGAAAACACGGGGCUUAACCCCGUGCCUGCUUCCGAUACGGGCAGACUAGAGGUAUGCAGGGGAGAACGGAAUUCCUGGUGUAGCGGUGAAAUGCGCAGAUAUCAGGAGGAACACCGGUGGCGAAGGCGGUUCUCUGGGCAUUACCUGACGCUGAGGAGCGAAAGUGUGGGGAGCGAACAGG